rnacentral:rRNA from 1 species
GACGAACGCUGGCGGCGUGCCUAAUACAUGCAAGUCGAGCGAAGCGGCGGAUGGGUGAGUAACGCGUGGGUAACCUACCCUUAAGUCUGAGAUACCAUUUGGCAACAGAUGCUAAUAGCGGAUACUAAAGGAUGGACCUGCGAUGCAUUACCUAGUUGGUAAGGUAACGGCUUACCAAGGCGAUGAUGCAGAGCCGAGUUGAGAGACGGAUCGGCCAAAUUGGUACUGAGACACGGCCCAAACUCCUACGGGAGGCAGCAGUAGGGAAUCUUCCACAAGGGACGAAAGUCUGAUGGAGCAACGCCGCGUGAGUGAAGAAGGUUUUAGGAUCGUAAAGCACUGUGGUUGGGGAAGCGGUAAUCAACCAGAAAGUCACGGCUAACUACGUGCCAGCAGCCGCGGUAAUAC